UGUCUAGCUUGCUAGAUGAUGUCGAGUGGCGGACGGGUGAGUAAUACUUAGGAACAUGCCUUUGGGUGGGGGAUAACUAUUGGAAACGAUAGCUAAUACCGCAUGACGUCUACGGACCAAAGGGGGCUUCGGCUCCCGCCCAGAGAGUGGCCUAAGCGAGAUUAGCUAGUUGGUGUGGUAAAGGCGCACCAAGGCGACGAUCUCUAGCUGUUCUGAGAGGAAGAUCAGCCACACUGGGACUGAGACACGGCCCAGACUCCUACGGGAGGCAGCAGUGGGGAAUAUUGCACAAUGGGGGCAACCCUGAUGCAGCCAUGCCGCGUGUGUGAAGAAGGCCUUCGGGUUGUAAAGCACUUUCAGUUGUGAGGAAAGGUUGAUGGUUAAUACCCAUCAGCUGUGACGUUAGCAACAGAAGAAGCACCGGCUAACUCCGUGCCAGCAGCCGCGGUAAUACGGAGGGUGCGAGCGUUAAUCGGAAUUACUGGGCGUAAAGCGCACGCAGGCGGUUAUAUAAGCUAGAUGUGAAAGCCCCGGGCUCAACCUGGGAAUAGCAUUUAGAACUGUAUGACUAGAGUCUUGGAGAGGGGAGUGGAAUUCCAGGUGUAGCGGUGA
rnacentral:rRNA from 1 species